rnacentral:lncRNA from 1 species
GUGUAUGUUAAUCCCCAACUCUUAAUUUAUCCCACCCCCCACAUUUCCCUUUUGGUAACCAUAGGCUUGUUUUCAAAGCCUGUGUUUGCUGCUCAAACUCUUUUAUUUUUUAUUUUUUUGUCUUUUUAGGCCAUGCCUGUGGCAUAUGUAAGUUCCCAAGCUAGGGGUUGAAGCGGAGCUGCAGCUGCAAUCCUACACCACAGCCAUAGUAACUCAGGAUCUGAGCUGAGUCUGCGACCUCCACCACCGCUCGCAGCAAUGCCAGAUCCUUAACACACUGAGAGAAGCCAGGGAUCAAACCUGUGUCCUCAUGGAUACUAGUUGGGUUUGUUACCACUAAGCCAUGAGGGGAACUCCUCAAAAAAUUCUUUAAGAGAUACAUCAAAUUCUACUUAUUCUUUGCCCAAAUUUGUAUAAGUUAGGUAGAUUCAAUAACUUGAAAGCAAGUGGUUCUGUAAAGGAAAAUCAUAUCAAGACGAAUCUCUGGAUGGCAGUUGGAUGCUUGCCCACUCUGGUGUAGCCGGCAAGGGAGGGGUACAGUGUGGUUGACUUGGUGCCGUGUUUGAUCAGGGGCACAACCAGAUUACUGGCUACCUCCCUGGGAAUUUCCUUAGGAGCAAAUCAUUAGUUGUGGUGCUCUUCAGGGCUGGCUUGGAGAGGCAUCUGAACUAGUCCCAACAAUGGGAGGAAAUGGGGGCCAACAGCUUGGGGCUUUGGGGUGCUGCUUUUGAGUGCCACAGUAUGAACAGAAAAUGGAACACAACAGAUUAAUAAAGAGCUCAUGUAUUAACAUAAUCCAACUCUCAUCCAAGUGGACUGUGGCUUGUAUUCUAUGACUAUGCCUUUGUACCUCACUAAGGCAAAACUGCCACAGUACAUCUGCUUCCCACCCCUUGCCUUCAUUUAUUAUAAACAUUAACUUAUGGCUGGUGCUACUGACCUUCCUUUCAGUUCCGUUCAAAAUGAGAUCUCAAUUUUUAAUUUUGAAUGAUAUUUGAAGAGUAGUGCAAUCUAAAGUGAUUUUCUAUUAAUACAUAGGCUAUGAUAUUAAAGACUUUAUUCUUUUGUUAAUGUUAAUAGUUCUGUUACUAUGAAAGCUUUAUUCCCUUAAUUUCAAGUAAAUUUAAAUUUUAUGAUGUUUGCUUCACCACAAUUAUAUAAUCCUUUUUUAUUAUUGAAAAGUAUCACAAUUAUGCAAAUGAUUUUAUCCAAGGAGACAAGCAGCAAUUAACUGUGAAAGACAGGCUGUUACUGUAAGAAUUGUAUUCACACUGAAUGGAAUUGGACUUUUUAAAAAAUAAACCUUUAAUAAGAAAAUUCAGUUGGUACAGAUUUUAAAGCAAGCAGUUCAUUGAGACAAGUUUGUACUCUUGCCAUAAUAGUUUUCUUUUACUCUAGUAUGCUUUUAGCUCCUGCCUUAUAAAAAAAAAAAAUGACUGCUUCAGCAAGUAAGAAAUAUGUGCGGAAAAAAAAUUUCACUCAGGUUUAUAUAAUUUUACUCACUCUUCAUUUAAGAAAACUGGGCAGUAAUAACCAUUUUAAAGAUUUUUUAAAACAUAAAAAAGUUGCUUCAUUUUUAUUUAUAGCUUUUCUAAAAUUAAAACUUGUUUUCAUUGUGAUUGUGCAACUUAUAUUGAGCCAGAAUUUCCCUUUCAUCUACUUUUUGUGGAUUGUACAUAGAGGGAAGGGCUUUUACUGCUUUACGUGGUGAGGCUCCAUUUACUGCAUUUUUUUACUACUGUCACUAUCAAAGAGUCCAGUAAGACUUGGAGGUGGUUCAACGUUUCCUUAAAAGCACAGGGUUUUUUCUGAGGUUAAGUACAAUUUUUGUAUUUUAAAAAAUACAAUUUUAAAAAAUACAAUUUUAAAAAAUUGAAGUAUGUACAAUAGCUUCAGGUGUGGCUCACAGUGAUUUGGUACUUAUAUACAUUUUGGAAUGGUUACCACGUUAAGUCUGGUUACCAUCUGUCACUAUACAGUAUUAUUACAAUGUUAUUGAAUAUAUUCCCUAUACUGCACAUUCUAUCCCUGUGAUUUAUUUAUUUUAUAACUGGAAGUUUGUAUCCCUUAAUUCCCUUUACCGGUUUUUCCCACCCCCAAACCUUUUACCUUCUGGCAACCAGUAGUUUGUUUUUUGUACAGUAUCUAUGAAUCUGCUUCUGCUUUGUUUGCUUGCUUGUUUUGUUUUGCAGAUUCCACUUAAUAGUGAAAUUAUAUAGUAAUUGUCUUUCUCUGACAUCAUUUAACAUAAUACCAUCUAGACCCAUUCAUGUUGUUGCAAAUGGCAAGACUUCAUUCUUAUUUAUGGCUGGGUAAUGUUCAAUUUGUGUGUGUGUGUUGUGUAUAUGUCACAUCUUCUUUAUCCAUUCAUCUGUUGAUAGAUGUUUAGGUUGCUUUCACAUCUUGGAUGCUGUAAAUAAUGCUGCAGUGAACAUAGGGAUUCAUAUAUCUCUUUGAAUUAAUGUUCCAUUUUCUCUACAACCUCACCAAAACUUGUUAUUUGUUGUCUUUUUGACAAUAGCCAUUCAAACAGGUGUGAGGUGAUGUAUCAUUGUGGUUUUGAUUUGCAUUUCUCUGGUAAUUAGUGAUAUUGGGAAUCUUUUUCAUGUGCCUGUUGGUCAUCUGUAUGUCUUCUUUGGAAAAAUGUAUAUUCAGGUCUCUGCCCCAUUUUUAAAUAUAAUUUCUUGUUUUUUGAUGUGGAAUUGUAUGAGUUCUUUGUCUAUUUUGGAUAUUUACCUCUUAUCAGAUAUAUCACUGGCAAAUAUCUUCUCACAGUUAAUAGGUUGCCUUUUUGUUUCAUUGAUGGUUUCCCUUACUGUGCAAAAACUUAGUUUGAUGUAGUCCCCGUUUGUUUGGUUCUACCUUUGUUUCUCUUGCUUGAGGAGAUAAAUCCAAAAAAAUUUCACUAAGACUGAUGUCAAAGAGCUUACUAUCUGCUUUCUUCUCAGAGUUUUAUGGUUUCCAGUGUUACAUUUAAGUCUUUAAUCCAUUUUGAAUUUGUUUUUUGUAUAUCCUGUAAGAUAAUGGCCCAGUGUCAUUCUUUUGCAUAUAUCUACCUAAUUUUCCCAACAAACACCAUUCAUUGAAGAGUAUGUCCUUUCUCUAUUGCAUAUUUUUGCCUCCUUUGUUAUGGAUUAAUUGACAUAUAUGCAUGGGUUUAUUUGUGUAGUUUCUAUUUUGUUUCAUUGAUUAAUGAAUCUAUUUUUGUGCCAGUACCAUACUGUUUUGGUUACUGUAGCUUUAUAAUAAAAUUAUGAGAUAAUACCUCCAUAUUUGUUCUUAUUUCUCAAGAUUGCUUUGGCUAUUCAGAGUCAUCUGUGGUUCCAUAUAAAUUUUAAGAUUAUUUGUUCUACUUCUGUGAAAAACACCAUUGGUACUUUGAUAAAGAUGGCAUUGAAGUGAGUUCCCAUUGUGGUGCAGCAGAAACAAAUCUGACUAGGAACCAUGAGGUUGUGGGUUUGAUCCCUGGCCUUGCUCAGUGGGUUAAGGAUACAGCAGUGCCGUGAGCUGUGGUGUAGGUCACAGACACACCUCUGAUCUCACGUUGCUGUGGCUGUGGCAUAGGCUAGCGGCUACAGUUCUGAUUAGACCCCUAUCCUGGGAACCUCCAUACGCCAUGGGAAGCAGCCCUAGAAAAGGCAAAAAGAC